GAGACUUGGCCCAGUCGCAUUUUAGCAGCCACUUUUAAGCUUUGUCUGUAUGCUGCCUUCUCUACAAGCUUUUCUGCCUCUCUGCAUGUUGGUUCACUUCAGUAAAGAUAUGUGAACACAGACUAUGUGCCAGAAGCUGUGCUGGAUUCUGCAGAUGCAAAGAUGAGGUAGAUUUCCUAGGAGAGUUUACCAUCUACCAAGAGGCGUUAUUGCAAGUGCUUUUCAUGGGAAAUUUCAUUUAAUAUUUACAACAACUCUGUGAGCUGGGACUAUUACUUCAUUUUACAAAGGAGGAGAAGAGGACACCAAGAAUGUUAAGUGACUUGCCCAAGGUCACACAGAAAAAGAAAUGGAUGCCAUGAAAGAGUGACCAUUAUUGGAUGUUCAAUAUGCACUACUGAGGAGGGCUUCCAACAUUAUGUAAAUGUAAGCACCCAACUUUCUCUGAGAGCACAGACUCUUCACCUCCAGCACAAAUCCUUCAACUUUCUGGUGUACAGCCUUCAGCCUUCCAUCACUGAUCCUUUGGCCUCCUGGUCCUGACUCAUACAGGACACUACAGUGAGCUCCAGGCCUUCAACUGGAUCCUUUGGACCUCCAGUGCACAGACAGACCUUCUGCAUGCUACCACACCCUCUCUGUGGUACCCACGCAGAACCCAAAUUUUUAGUUGGACACAAAUGAAAAAGUUCAACCCUAAUCCUCCACUGCAGCUGUAUCAUCCUGAAAGCAACUUCUAACCAAAAAGACAGAAGCAGAAAUGUGUAAGACACUUCCUGGAAGCCUUCUUCAAAGUCAGACAGAAGAUCAUUCUUUCCACCUUCUUCUCCGUCCUGCCUCUUGGAAGUCAGAUGGUAGAACUCAUAUUGGACCGUGAAGAUCAGGAUACACUGGAGCAAUUAGACAGAAGGAGUCUCCUCCCUACCCGCCUCCCCCGUGAGGCUGGCUUACCAAGUUGGGCUUUUCUAGCUGUACACUUGUUUUAUGCACAAAAUAAACCACGCUUUUGUUUAAGCUAUA